UACGUAGGGGGCAAGCGUUGUCCGGAUUUAUUGGGCGUAAAGAGCUCGUAGGCGGUCUGUCACGUCGGAUGUGAAAACUCGGGGCUCAACCCCGAGCCUGCAUUCGAUACGGGCAGACUAGAGUUCGGUAGGGGAGACUGGAAUUCCUGGUGUAGCGGUGAAAUGCGCAGAUAUCAGGAGGAACACCGGUGGCGAAGGCGGGUCUCUGGGCCGAUACUGACGCUGAGGAGCGAAAGCGUGGGGAGCGAACAGG
rnacentral:rRNA from 1 species